CGCUCGUUGAUGGCCGGCCGGUGAGUCCAUAGAAACUCCAAUCGCUCCAGCUUGAAAUUUCAUUUUUUUUUUCAUUUCAGACGUCCAUGGAUGGGUAGAUCUGCUAGUAAGUGCGUAAGUACGAGUCAGUCACCGCGGUGGCUGCCAGCAAUUCUCUGUGACUAUCGCAACCCUACCCAUCAGCUAGCUAGCUAUAACGUGAUGAAUUGCUUGCGAAGAGCCUGGUAGUGACGAUGGCGGCGCCGUGACCGGGCAGGCCAACUGAUGAACUGAGCACAGGAGGAGUAUCUUCGAAGCACUGUAUACGGAAUUACUUGUCGCAGAAAUAGAUGUAUCUAGACAUAUUCUAGUUCUAGAUACAUUCAUAUCCGAGACAACUAAUUCCGAACGGAGGGAGUAGUACCGAGCGAUUAGUAAGCGGCCGCCCAGCCUUGAACUCCCAAGAAACAUUUUCCAACUAGACUAGUAGUAGUGAUUAGAAACCACUAGUAAUAUAAAUGCCACUUCCGAGCUGGGUUUAGAGUGUUUCUGUCACAGAGCACCCGGACUGACGGACUCUGGUGUGGGAGAAAAGGAGAUGGCACCGGCCGCGCUGUGGCUUCCCAGAUCUAGACGCCGACCAAGUGGGUGGGCCUCACGCAUGAGCCACCGCGUUCUUUCAUUUUCCCCCUUUCCAAUUUGGAAAGAACGGGCGGUGCACCAGNNNNNNNNNNNNNNNNNNNNNNNNNNNNNNNNNNNNNNNNNNNNNNNNNNNNNNNNNNNNNNNNNNNNNNNNNNNNNNNNNNNNNNNNNNNNNNNNNNNNNNNNNNNNNNNNNNNNNNNNNNNNNNNNNNNNNNNNNNNNNNNNNNNNNNNNNNNNNNNNNNNNNNNNNNNNNNNNNNNNNNNNNNNNNNNNNNNNNNNNNNNNNNNNNNNNNNNNNNNNNNNNNNNNNNNNNNNNNNNNNNNNNNNNNNNNNNNNNNNNNNNNNNNNNNNNNNNNNNNNNNNNNNNNNNNNNNNNNNNNNNNNNNNNNNNNNNNNNNNNNNNNNNNNNNNNNNNNNNNNNNNNNNNNNNNNNNNNNNNNNNNNNNNNNNNNNNNNNNNNNNNNNNNNNNNNNNNNNNNNNNNNNNNNNNNNNNNNNNNNNNNNNNNNNNNNNNNNNNNNNNNNNNNNNNNNNNNNNNNNNNNNNCAUGCUCAAGACAGGCCUAUUUCAGGGGCACACUACUGGAGUUGUACUAAUAAUCUCUUUCCAUUUUCAGUACUACCACCAACGACCCUGCGAUCCAGCCGUGUACUAGGUGCACGUUGGAUGGGCGGCACAUUAUUUCAUUUUAUUUUAUUUUAUUAGGUGUGAGUCACCCCUCUUUUUCUAAUGUACAGAUACAGGCGCUAUAUACGCAAAUCGUAGUCGAUGAAAACGUCUUUUUCCAUUAAACAUCCAUCGUUGAAAGGCAUGAAAUAAUUCAGAAGAAUACAAACAUCGAUGUCAAGUUUGCAACUUAAAACUCUGAUGGCUCCUGUCCUUUUAACCAUCUAACCAUAUAUUGGUUCGUUCACGUCCGCACGCGCGGUCUUCCUUUUGCGUCGUCGAUAUUAGCCGGACGGGGCUUUCCAUUUUUUACUCAAGAUUAUGAAGACCCCAUUGUUGGAAUUAUGUGUCCUACAACUAUAUUCAAAUUACUUGGAAUUAUUAAUAUCCGGAAUACCUCAUUGUGAAAUUACAAAUGUGAUUUCAACACCCAUUGCAACGCACGAGGCCUUUUGCUAAUAAUAAUAAAUAUGAUAAUAAUAAUAAUAUAAUACUCUUCCCAUUCCUAAAUAUAAGUCUUUUUAGAGAUUUCAACACAGAAUACAUACGAAGCAAAAUGAGUGAAUCUACACACUAAAAUAUGUCCAUAUACAUCCGUUAUGUGACUAUAAAUUAAGAAAUAUCUAAAAAGACUUAUAUUUAGAAACAUAGGGAGUAUAAAGCAAAAGCUUGCUGAUUGUUAGGUUCAUAUAGGUUGGCUAGUAUUACUACAAAUGCCUCACGCAACUGCCUCCUCCCCCAAAAGUCCAGGGUUUCUUUGUGUCCCGCCGGCGUCGCCACCGACCUGCCUCGUCUUUGAUAGCCUUAGGGUCAUGGCGGCACGGUGGAUCCUGGCCCUUAGCGGGAGGGCUCUGUGUUUUAGAUGUUUCUUUGAGUUUUCUUAGGGUUUGUGUCCUACUCAAAAAGACGAGACGACGGCGACUCCCUGAAGAUGGAAUAAGAUUCUCCUUGUCUAACCUCUCAUACCGGUGGUGCGUCUAGUAUCGUCGGUGCGCGCGUGGAGAUGCGUCUCCGACGGAUUCUGUCCUUGGUAGAUUUGCCCGGAUCUGAUCGUAGUUCGUCUAUAUUCAUGUGUCUUCAAAUUGGAUCCUUUCGAUCUAUCUACGCUUCUCUUCAACGUCGGCAGUUGCUGUUCUGGUGCGCUGGUCUUAUGAGGCCUUAACACGACAAUUUCCCGACUGUCUAUUAUAACAAGUUUUGUCCGGCUCCGGUGAGGGAGAAGCGAUGACGGCGGCACGCUUUCGGCUUGCUUCAGUGCUUGUAGUCGUCACUAGGUGGUCUACAGGUCUGGAUGUAAUUUUUAUUAUUUCUAGUGUUCAUUGUAUUGCCAUGAUUAAAGAUGAAUAGAUCAUAAGUUUUCUUGUAAACAUAUAUAAUAUAAUAAUAUUUAUUAAUAUUAAUAAUAUAAUUAUAUAAUAAUAAUCACAAUAAUAUGAAUAAUAAUAAUCGCACGUUUUUCUCCUCCCAUUUGCCAUCUACUAGUACAGUACUAGGAGUUUCUAGAAAAAAACUAUAGGUUAAUAAGUUAUCUUUCCUCAAAAAAAAAAAAAUCUCUCCUCGUGCAUGCCGUGAGGAUCUUCUUCCCCCUCCGAUCCAUCACAUUUUCCCUAGCUCUUCCUUUCUCCCAAACCAGAUCUUUGCUGGCGUGGUUUCAAGGCCCAUCGAAGCUCGGGCAGCCGCGCGCGCGCUCUACGUCGAUGAUGAAGGCGGUAACGGCGACCAAAACCUUUCUUCGUAAUUGGAUUUCCUGUUCCAUGGUUUGGAUCAACUGCCGGCCGGCCAGCCGGCCGCCCGAUACGAAUUCAGCUUUCUUCUACCCCUGAUUUCGAUCCUUGUUUCUGUGGUAUGGGAUUAAUCAGAUCUCAAUCCCCUCGUUCCUUCAAAUCAAAUUUAUUCAACAAGGGUAGAGUCGCCUCCAAGUUUGGUCCCUAUUCUCAAAUUUGAUUUGCUCAUGCAUGCCUGCAGGAUCUCCUCGUCGCCGGCUGGCUGUAUGCACCGUAUCUGAUCCUUCCUCUUUGUCCAUGUGUUGAAACCAAACACGGUUCGAUCUGAGCGGAUGAUCAACUUCUCCCUAUGCCAGGUAAAGUCUUGCACUCCUGAUGAAGUUUCAACCUUACCACCAAGAUGCAAAUUUUCUGCUCCUUUUUUCACCUAAUUAGAACGAACUGCAUAUGCGUUAUGAAGGUGUGCUUAAUUAUAUGAUGAAGUCUUGCGAGAGUCGGGAAUUAUUUUUCGGUUCAGUUCUUUUUAUUCCUGUUCUUCUGACGUUGGAUUGGUUCUGAAUGUUUUUUCAUACUGAAAGGAAGUUUCGUUAUGUGGCUAUAAAUUAAUUUGGGAAUGAAACGGGAAGUAUGAAAUCAUCUUCUUCCUAACAUCCCAGGCUCUCUAGUGAGAAUUCCUGAUGUCUGACUGCCCGUUCUUUCCGUAUUUGUAGACCGAUUCAGGAUUUACAUGUCGAUCAUCGUUUCUGGAGUGAUGGAUCUUCUGCAAAUUGAUCUGUGAAAGCCUUGAAGAAACAAAGAAACAAAACAUUCUAAUCCCCCGACUUAGUUAGGCAACAAUAACAUAGCAAGAACUUGAAAUAAAACACAUUCAUUUGGGAGCCCAUAUCACACGAAUUACAUUUCAAUUGACAUAGGAAAUGAAAAGGAAAAGGAAAAAAAGUUGUUACAAUGUGUGAAGAUUAUCAAAUUCACAAUAUUGACGCCCUUCCCUCCCCACAUGACUACCGCAAAAAUUAUCUGACACGAGGCAUUGCCAUGUUUAAUUGGACGCAAACAGAAGCACCGACACCAGUUACUUUGCGGCGAUAGGUCGACAGAACGAACUAGACAGGAAGGGAGGAAAGAAAUGAAGAUGGAGCUUGUUGCGCCAGCCCUCAAAGGGGAGGAUGGGAACUGACCAUGCGGCGGAGGAAGGGGAGAGAGAGGGAUAUAAAUUAAAGUGAUUAGAAGAGUAAUUACGCAAUCAGUAUAGACUUGCAGAGGCCCAUUUUUUAAGAAAAAACAGCGAGGACUAGCCCUUGGUUGCCAACUGAGCGACUCUCGGCGAUCAACUUAAUUCCUAAGGGUUUGGAUUAUAUGUUGAUGGAUGGCCGAGGUCGUGUGGUUCUGACAAACUUGUUAUUUUUAGAAAACAACCUGUUAAAAUACUACCAUAUCUAAAAAUUGCUUCCUUUUUUUGCCCACUAGCUCUAAAAUAUUAUGUCUUUCAUCCCAUUUAUCAAAAUCUCCCUGUCCCUAUGGCUUGGCCACUUGUCAAACCCAUACGUCAACUAAUUGAAGCCACAUCACAAAAUCUAAAUAAUAACAAGACUUCACUCUCUUUAAGCAAUAAUCUAGCGACGCAUUUGGCAUCCCUCCACGAGUCGGGCUUCAGCUUCUGGGAAUACGCCACUACCUCCUCCUGCCCUUGACGACAUUAUCUUUUUAAAAUCGCCAUCAAGGCACUUAAUUAAUUCAUAGGCAGGUUAACAUCUAAUUACAUGGGAUUACACCAUCAAUACUUGAAUCAAUAUCCAGCAUAAGUGUUGUCUUGGUGCACACACGUGCAUACAAUUGACAUUCCUAGCAAAACAAAAAGUAAAACCCCGGAAGUUUGAGAGAUAUCCCCUCAUCUUUUUGAAAAUCUGACCGCAUGCAGAGCGAUCCUCACCUUUCAUCCACAUAGAGUACAAGACUUGACAAUCCGUCUAGAGCACAAUGUACUGAAAGUCUUUCUCCAUAGCCAUAAUCACUCCUUCAUGGCAUGCCAGUGUCCCAAUGAUGAGCGGUUCAGAGAUUGCAUUAUAUUUAACAUACAUCGCCUGGAUAAGACCCAUCAUGUUCUCGAGCAAUCACCCCAGCUCCUGCUAUACCUCGACUUGAUUUUUGAAAUUGCUAUUAAAUUUUAUUUACUAAAAUAUUGUAAGCCACCUUCAAUUAAAUUUUGUUACAAAUAAUUCUAAGGAAUUUAUAAGGGUAAAUUACAAUUUAGAUUGUAAUUCUACUAUAUACUGUACUCUCGCCGUUUUAGUUUACUAGGUCCAUCUAAAAAAUCACUGUACCCAAAAAAGACCUAAUCAAGUGCUGGACCACGUAUUAAUGCAGUAUGCUUCGUCAUGGCUCUUUUCCUGCAUUUGUUGGUUCUAAAUUAAGAACCAAAAUUUGACAAAUACCAAUGUGGCUCUAAUUAAUGAUUGCGUAAACCCAAGGCACGGGGGCUUACAAACUAAAAACUCAGAUAUUUUGAGAUGGGUCUAACAAACUGGACGGGAGGGACUAUUAGGCAGUAACAUUAUGCUUGGAGUUGAAGUUUCAUGUCUUUUGAGAUUAAUAAUAAGAAUCCAUACAUUUAUUGUUCCAACACUUGAAUGUGGUAAACACAUGAAAUAUGUCAAAGUAGAGGGUAAAGAGGAAGAAAAAGCAAAUCAGAGUAUCUUGGACACUUCGGCACAAAUUAGUAGAAAUAGUAGAAUUUAUUCUGAAAAGGGAGAAUCAUGUUAACACCACGGAGCUCUGUGGGUGAAUUCAUUUGUAUCUGUAUAUAGGAGAUUCAGCCAGCAAAAGUUACACAUGGUCCACAAUCUCUUGUGAUUAACGAGUUGCGUAUGUCCUACAUAGUGCACCCAAUCUUCGGGAUAUUUUAGAACUUAGCCCGGGCACACAUGCCUCACAUUUUAACUCAUUCUAUGCUUCUCAUCAUUUCGUUGUUUGGUCACUCUUGCAGGUUCUAGGCCAGCUACCAAGCAUCAUCUGCUCGGGAUAUUUUGUUUACUCUGACAUCCCGUAACUCUGUUGAAUUACUCUCCUAUAUAUCGUCAUGUAUAGAUGGUGCGUUCCUUUUACAGCGAGCUGUACGUGUUGCACAACACAUCUUAUCUAUUCUACAGUUGCAGAGUUGCCUAGGAUUAUGUUCUCAGCAUUUCGUUCUUUGGUCACUUGUGCAGGUUCUGGGUCAGCCACCAAGAUUCCUCUGUUCUGCAUAUUUUGUUUCGUCUGACAUCCAACAAGUCUGGAAGCGAUCUCUUUAUAGCGUCACAUAUAACUGGCACGCUUCUUUUGAAGUCUCGUGCAUUUACUUGGAGCUCAUUGACACCGGUUAGUCUGAAGUGCAUCGGCUAUAAACAUGGGUAUUUUCGAUUAUUUUAAAUUUAUUUCAUCAGGACAUACAUUUCCAUGAAAAGAAAAUCAUCCCAUCUGCAUCAACAUUGAUGUUGUAGUGAGACCGAGAGAAGCCGAAGAAAACUUGCCAAGUCCUUUUUCCCAUUCUCCCGCGCAACCCAUCCCUAUGGCGGCUCCAGGACUGAAAUCCUAGUUCACCCCCCUCCUCUUGCGCUUGAGUCUUGUUUUGUCCCCAUUGGCUAGAGGUUGGACAGGGCGAGGCAUGUCACAUGUGGUGAUGGUGGCGUGCGACAAUGGUGACGCCGACGAGGCGCACCAUGGGAACAGUGGAGACAGGCGAUGCCGGAGACGCGUGGGUGGCGGUUGGCGCUAUGUGGUGGUGACGACAAUGGUGUAGGUGCCAAAGUGCGCAUGGUGGGCGGUGGGGUGCCAGGGGCACGGUGGCGGUAGGCGGUGCCAGAGUCACAUGGGUAGCAUGCGAUGGUGAUAGCGGCACAUGGCGGUGGUGGUGAGAUGCAUAGGGUGGACGGUGGGGCGCACCAAGGCAUGAUGGUGGUGGGUGGUGGCGAUUGGCGCUAUGUGGUGGUGACGACAAUGGNNNNNNNNNNNNNNNNNNNNNNNNNNNNNNNNNNNNNNNNNNNNNNNNNNNNNNNNNNNNNNNNNNNNNNNNNNNNNNNNNNNNNNNNNNNNNNNNNNNNNNNNNNNNNNNNNNNNNNNNNNNNNNNNNNNNNNNNNNAUGGUAUAGGUGCCAAAGUGCACAUGGUGGGCGGUGGGGUGCCAGGGGCACGGUGGCGGUAGGCGGUGCCAAAGUCACGUGGGUGGCAUGUGAUGGUGAUAGUGGCACAUGGCGGUGGCGGUGAGAUGCAUAGGGUGGACGGUGGGGCGCACCAGGGCACGAUGGUGGUGGGUGGUGGUGAUUGGCCAGUCACACGGGUGGCGUCGGUGGACCAGAUGCACGGUGGUGUUAAGGGGUGUGCUCGCGGCGGACGUGUCGGUCUACUUGUUAAGCUCCGACGACGAUAAAAAGCGCGAGGAUCGCGGCGACAAUGGAAGAUUCAGAGGAAGAGGAUGCGUCAGCGAAGGAAGAUGCAGAGGAGGCCGCUGGUGGUGGCGAGUGGUGUGCCCGCGGUGGAUGUUGUGUCGGUCGAUUUGUCGAGCUCCGACAACGACAAAUAGCACGAGGAUCAUGGCGGCAAUGGGAGAUUCGGAGGAAGAGGAUGUGUCGGGGAAGGAAGAUGAGGAGGAGGCCGAUGGUACCGACGAGGUAUGCAUCCCCUCGUGGGAGGAGGCGGAAAGGGAGUAUGAGUGGGCGCUACCCAAGGAGGAGCACCGGGGUGGGAUGGCUCAUCGCGCACGUCGUGUUGGAAAGGUCCAUCGGCGACGAGCGUGAGAUAGUCGAGAAUCACCAUGACAGCGAGAACAAGAGCUGCUCUUUUAGCGCCGAUGACUUGAAGGUACCAUGGUGGAGCAUCCAUGAUGCCGAUGAGUCGCUCGGGGAAGGCGUAUUUGAUCUACCUCUCUUCCGAUAAGGACAAACACGUUUAUCCCGUUUUUAGCUCUAAAUCUACUUCCUCCGUCACGGUUUAGAAGGCGCGCUUGAAAAUUCUCUGGGACCUAGGUGGUUAUCUAUUGGUUGUGGGAUGGGCUAAAAAAUAUCAUUCACAUUACGCAUGCAUAUAGAAAUAGUAUAUUGGAGUACUAAUUAGCUACUAGAAGUAAAUGCAAUGCGCCCUAAACCUUGUCUAUUGUGAAAACGCACGCAAAUUUAACUGUGCCUUCUAAACUGUGACAGAGGAAUUAGGUUGUAGUUAGUUUAAGUACUUGGAUAUUUAAUGUGCACCCUAAAAUCUAGCGUAGCGGCAUAGGUAGAAAUCUAGUUUGGUGCUCGAGAGACCUCAAAUCUGACCACACAACUACUCCCUCUGUUCCGAAUUACUUGUCGCAGGUAUAGAUGUAUCUAGAUAUAUUUUAGUUCUAGAUACAUCCAUUUCUGCGACGAGUAAUAUGAAAUUACUUGUCGCAGGUAUGGAUGUAUCUAGAUAUAUUUUAAUUCUAGAUACAUCCAUUUCUGCUACGAGUAAUAUGGAACAGAGGGAGUAUGAAGUAGCUGUAGUAAUGGACUUUUGUUUGCUGUGACAGAAGUUGCAGAAAGUAAAAAACCAUGCAAGUGAUAAGCUCUUAAGAUGUCGGCAACACCUAAUGUUUGCAUUGCACUCAUCAUUCAAUGUCUGUUAACACCCAAGUAGUAAAAUAAAUUUGAUCAGCUAGCAGUAGCACACUUCGUCUACCACACACACAGUGAGUCUCACAAACACAGUGGCUCAUUAAUGAGUACAAGUGGGACACCACAAAUGUUGAAGGCACUAGUCGCAAUCUCCAAGAAAGCACUAUUCGCAUUGCUCUUGCCCACGCAAACAGAUAGUACUACCACUCCAGUCUUGCCGCAGAACCCACUCAAACUUCCCUGACAUCAACCUCGGGAUCCGAGCAAGAACCACCAUGUUUCAUCAUUGUCAUGAGUGCAUCAAUGACAUAGUCUGAGUCAUAGUUGAUCAAGUGAAGCAAUUGAUCAGUACCAGUUCCCGCGAGCCUUGUCAUGGAGGCUGGGUAGUUGGGAACCAGGUUGCCAUCCUCAUCUUGCUCAUAAACAAUGUAGUUUUUGAUGCGAUUAUGUCCUUCCUUUGCUGACAAGGCAUUGACUGAACCAUUCAUCUGAUGCACUGCUUUAAUCAGUUUGUCAUUCCAUCCGUGCACCUCAUAGUACUUGUACAGCAGGGCAACAUAUAAAGCAAGGAAUGAUCUGCCCAUGCUAGACCAAUCAUGUAAGUGAUCGUUCAACUCUUCAUGAAGCGGGACUGCAUCCCCAUUCUUGAAGUUCUGCUCCGCAAACUGCAAGAACACCCCUGAACGUUGACACUCCCCAAAUAAUAUCAUAAAUGUCUGCAGCACUCUAACUCUAUCAUAUAUCCAAUCUCCAAUACUAGUGCUGUUCUCUGGAGUGAAUAUUUUCAAGUGACAAUUGGUGGGGGUGAAAGCAAGGAGGCAUUCCAGUAAGUUCAGAGUUAUCCCUUUACCAAGAGUUAUCCCCACUUGCUUCGUGUAUCCACUGUCCCAACUUAGCUUAUUCCCUUCCAGAUCAAAGGGAAGGUUUACAUCCUUAAAGUAAAACCAUCCACCCGGAUUUUCCUUGGUUGGAACAACAUAGAAUGCGAUCAGAUAACCGUCACUUUGGCGAAAUAGAAGCCACAGCACAACCUUACUGUCCAGCUCAAUCUCCACCAUGUUGUAUGUUUCCUGCAAUUCACAUUUGCACAUCAUUUCAACUCCUAGCCACAUGUAGGAAAAAGGAUAAGAAAAAGAAGAAAAGAAUCAGCGAAUAUUACAUUUUCAGAAGGCUGCGUGACUGGAACUCCUUGAAUGCUCAUUGAUCUCACUUUCUUAAAGAGCUUGCGUCUAGCAUCCAGAACUUCCUUCAAACCAUCAUAGUUACUCUGAAUGGCGCCACGCUCGUCAAUGCUUUGAAUAUUGCCAUCCUGGUCAGUCUUCAGUCUCCAUAUUACGCUCUUAACAUCCUGCAGCAAAGAGGAAGCAACAAGCAUUAGUUUCUAAAAAUCAUUUGCUAUGCUUUAUCAACUUGCGGACAGAACUCAAGGUCAUAAAUAUAUUGCAGUCUAGCAUUUGCCUCUAUAUAUAUCCAAAAUUCUGAACCUACAGUUAAUAUGACAACUCUGAUACUGCUUGUCAAGUCACAAGAUAAUGAAUUAAAGUGUUGCACUGUUAUCUGCUGGUAGGUAUAACACAUAUGCCCAAACAUAUCGCUUCUACUCCUGCUUUUGCACUUAAGGUGAACAGAUUGCACAUAUGAUUCAUAAACCAAAGCAUACUGCUUCUACUCUACUUAUGCACCGAAAAGUUACAGAUUGCACAAAGAACUCUUUCAUGAAGAAUAUUACAGCUUGCAUUUCAUGACAAUGAAAAGGGGCAAAUGAUAUUUUGCAUGUUUGUUCUCACAUUAAGUUAUGCAAAAAUUAAAAUAUACGAAUGUGUUGUUCAUAGUGGUUAAGUUCAACGAAUAUGUAGUAUUCCUGUUAAUUCUUAGUUAACUUACAGACCUGUGAGAGGCUGUGUAUAUUAGUUUAAAUAUAUAAUUCUAAUGAUGUCAGAAAGCUGUGAGGCAGUGGUCAUCUAACGAGCAGCUGUAAAUUAACUUUCUCUUUUGAAAGCCACAACCACAAUUAGUUAGCAGCAUGUCAAAUUGAAAAAAAAAAACAAGUGAGAGAGAAGAAUGCUUGUGGUCGUCCAACACACGGAUUAAGUGAUAUUUGGCAAGACAGAUUUCUUUAGGAAUUAGUUCAAAUUCGAACAAACAUAACUGAGCAUUAGAACCCAAAUUUCACCCAUUCAAACAAGCCCUGAGUGCAGUACCUGUAUGCUGAAAGAUUCUAUUCACUGCUGGCAUAGUCUGAAUAAUUAAGCAAUGAAAUUGCAAAACACCAUACAAUUUCAAUAGCAACAAGUGAAUGAUCUAGUGGAAGGAUGUGUUUGGUUUGAGCCCCAACUAGCCCACCAAAAUUUUGGCAUGACCAAGACAAGGGCAUGACUGAAAAUUCGGCAACUCCUUGUUGUUUGGAUUAUAGCAACUAGUUGAUACCCCGCGCGUUGCAGCGGGAUAUUUUGUUAGAAAUCUUUUGAAUGUGUAUCAAAGAAAAAAGGCAAUGAUUGAACAAAGUGGCAUGAUAUCAGGCGAGGUGUUUCGUGAAAACAUUUUAAACUCUCAUGUUCCAUGAAAUUGUGAGAAUUAAAUGGCAUAACUCAAAUUUGAUACAGAGCAGGUGGAGAAUUUGCAAUAUACUGUUACCACAGUAUGGUUCUGAUAUUAUCUUGGAAAAUUAUGCCAAGUGAAAAAAGUUAAAUUGAUUUGAAAAUCAUACACUAAAAAUUAAUGUACACACAUACGGAAGUACAGAGUUGAAAGCACAAUCCAUACAAUGCAAAGAAGUAACUUAAGGGUUGCAUAGUUGAAUCGAAAGUGCUGUACACACGAUGUUGAUGGACAAUUUGUGCACGACUUGCUUAAAAGCCACACAGAUUAAAGAAAUGAGGCAAUCCAAUGGUCUAGAUGACAUGUCGUGUCGGAAUCGUGCAAAAAUCUGUCAUGUGCAUAGCACUACUCUUGUUGAAUAGAAUCUGGAGUCUGUAGCAUUUGUUUCAUUGCGAUUUACGCAAAUAUUAGUUGUAGCAGAAAGUAGCAUUAUAUGAUAUCCGCCCAGAGUACAAAAGAAACAUGCUUAGUUGAAGCAUUGGUCUGAAUAUUUCUGCAAUUUCAUCUCAGAUUAGUUUUUUUGAAAAACAACUUGACUGGAGAUCAGAUAAACAAUCAUUAAUAGUAGUACUCCCUUCUCUGAAACAAAUUUAACUGCAUGCUAGUAUAUAACGGCCUAUGUAUCCAUCUCUUGUGGGAAAAGAAUUCUGUUAUACCAAAUCCAAAAAUUGCUAAACACUGUCCCACCACGAACAAAGCAGGAAUGCACUUACCUGUCCAUAGUACAACCUAAAACAUAGUUCCAAAAAAUAUAGAGGGAGUUCAGGGUAGCAACAAAUUAAAGGCAGAGUGGAGAAACUGAAUCCUCAUGGGAACCAAAUGACAUCUACUGUUGUUGGCAACAUAGGCAUCCAUGAUCCAUGGUGAUGGAGUCUCCAGCCAAGCUUCUUCAUAACAAUCAUGGCGAAGGCUGGAUGGAAAGUAAAGUCAAUCAAAUCUGCGGCCUCCUCUUACGGCAAUAGUUAGCCAAAACACGCAGCGGUGAAAACUGUCAUAUGGCGAGGAGUGGCCGCGCAACUGGAUGAAGGGGUAGCCUGAUUGAACCGAAAGAAGACAGAGGAUUUAUGAGGAUCGAUGAAGCCCAAGGGAGAGGAACUGAGGGGUCUCGUUGGGAGAGCAAUUGCCCAGCGCGUCCUUUUCUGUUGCAAGAUUUGAUGGAAGAAGAUGAAAAGAGAGGGGACUCAGCAGGCGCAUGCAUCCGGAGGGCUCGUGGCGGCGGCUGGCUGUGCGCCUGCGCCAAAGAAGUAGGCAAUCGGGGAGAUUUGUUUUUUUCUUUCACAGGAUAUCCUUUGUUUCCCCAUGGGCUUCGAAUAUCUAAGACGGACGUACAAUCCAUUUAACACUUGGCCCAGCCCAACUCCCUCGUUUGCUUCUCAUUUAGCCCAGUUUGAGGGUCGUCUUCAACCUUCUGCACAUGCACGAACAAACAUAGACGCACAACUACUAUGAAUACCUAUCAUAUUGGACAAUUUAGGCCACGGAUUGCGUUAACUUCAAACAUAAAAUUUGUUAUCCUAUUAGUCACGAACCCAUUCCACCAGAAUGCAGAGGAUAUUGUACAGUAACAAAGGAGAUCGAGAAAAGGAGCUUGGCCAUAGGGAAUGACCGGUCGCACUAUCAAGGAACCACCAGAGGGCCACAGUAUCGAGGGAACCAUGCAAGAGAGCGGAGGAGUCUAUCUGGGGACACCAUAGUCGGUGCGCUACCACGGCGAGCUAGAUAGUCAUAGAUAAGCCACGGGGAUGACCCGUCACAAUUGAUGAAUGUUUGCGCUUUUGUAUAUCCAGUUCGUUUGGAGGAGAAAGAAUGAAGGAGAAGGAACGAAACGUUAUUUCACUUAGCGGUGGCAGCUCUCAGUAAUUUGGGCCAACUCUUGAUCAGACGACUGUAGACGACCGAUCUAUGAUGCAUCAAUGGCUAGAACAAUUCGGGUGACGUGGCUUCAUGAGAAGGCAGGAAAAUCAUCUAGUGGGGUGCCCCUAUUUAGAUAUAGAAGAUUGCACCUACUAUUUUUUUGGCAACAUGUAUUAGUUUUUGCUUAGUUUGAUUCCUAUUCAGCUAUCAUGUUGCGUUAACAAAUGCAGAAACAAAUGUUAAACAAAACUUAGUUAACUACAGUGUGGCAAAAGAAACUGAAUGAACCUGUAAAAAGUGUGGAUCUUUAACACCGAUGUCACCAUGCACCUAGUUCUACCUAUCUCUGAAGACAUAGUCGAUUAUAGGAAAAGUCACAGCUGAUUAUACGGAAACUGAGACAACUAAAUUGACGUGGCUAAACAGGACUAGUUACACUUACAUGGCUUCAUACAUGGAAACUGAACACGCGCUUAAUGAUCUAUUCAAACUAUUGCUGGAUGAGAUGUCACCGCUUAUUGCUUCCGUCAACCGUCAACGUGAACUCAUGUAGUUAAUCUACCUCACUAAUUGCUUCAGUGUUUCAGUACAGAAUGAGGCCCCACAUAUGUGAAGCGGGCAAGCUGGUCUGCCAAAUAUUUGGCGAGUGCUUUAGCGCAAACGGUAUGCCCAGGCAUUGGCGAAAAUUACAUGGGAGCAUGAGGACUUGCUUUGGCGAACCAAAUUUUUGGCAUCUAUAUGCAAGCAAAAGUCAAAUCUCACGGACAAGUCACAAAAUUGGUAUGGCUAGUAUUGGUAGUAACCAGACACCUGAAGUCUCACCAAAGAUAAAAUUUACUUUCAAAGUCAAUUAUAUUAGCGUUGCAACAACUAGCAAUCCCUUGCAAGUUCAUAAAUUCAGUUACUUUCUUGACUGUCCCUAAAUACCAGACCGGUCAAAUUCGUCAAAACCUGCUUUUUAAGCUAGACGCAGCACAAGCAAGUAGGUAUUCGCCCAGAUCUACUUUUCAAGUAAAUAUCCUAGCCGGAUGUAGAAAAUAUCCUAUCAUUUCACCAGAUCUAGAGAUACGGAAGAAUAUUUGGAAGCCGAAGAUGGCAGGGGGGAUGGAUUGGUAGAUGCAUACCGAAAUGCUGGUCUGCUUGCAAGCAAUCGACCGCCUCGAGGCCUCCUGAAAAGCCAAAUCCUUUUUCUUCUGCACCGCAUCCCCCGCCCCACUAUUCUGGCUGCUAUCAGAUGGUCGACUGCUGCUACUGAUAGUUGCCUUCGUCCCUCCGCGGCUGCUGGAUUCGUUGACCGACGCUCCUCUUUUCUUCCCCCCCCC
rnacentral:lncRNA from 1 species